AACCGAGCGCGCUGUUGAUUA
rnacentral:miRNA from 1 species